AUUGAACGCUGGCGGCAGGCCUAACACAUGCAAGUCGAGCGGAGCGGCGGACGGGUGCUGAAUGCCUAGGAAUCUGCCUGGUAGUGGGGGAUAACGUCCGGCAACGGGCGCUAAUCACGCAUACAUUAAGAUGAGCCUAGGUCGGAUUAGCUAGCUGGUGGGGUAAAGGCCUACCAAGGCGACGAUCCGUAACUGGUCUGAGAGGAUGGUCAGUCACACUGGAACUGAGACACGGUCCAGACUCCUACGGGAGGCAGCAGUGGGGAAUAUUGGACAAUGGGCGAAAGCCUGAUCCAGCCAUGCCGCGUGUGUGAAGAAGGUCUUCGGAUUGUAAAGCACUUUAAGUUGGGAGGCGUUACCAACAGAAUAAGCACCGGCUAACUUCGUGCCAGCAGCCGCGGUAAUAC
rnacentral:rRNA from 1 species